GUGGGUAUAGCUCAGUGGUAGAGUGCCUGCUUAACAUGCACGAGGUCCUGGGUUCAAUCCCCAGUGCCUCCG
rnacentral:tRNA from 1 species